rnacentral:lncRNA from 13 species
UGCUUGGGGCAAGCGCCAGCACAAGCCAUCACCUCGCCGAGCCCCAGCACUUACUUUACAUUAGAAAUUCCGAAUGGACAUUCUAAUUGGCUCAGUUUAAAUCAUGAAGCUAUAUCCUGCCUGGGUGUGAGAAGACCAAGUAACUGCCCCCUUCAAGUUCACAGUGAAAGAAACUUUGUCUCCAAAUAAAAUAACAUAAAAAGUGCAGCUUCUACUUAAAUUGCUGUAUUUCAUUGUCAAACUUCUUUUAUACCCUACUUAUUUACUUACACUUAAAAAUAAUUUUGCCAGAAAAAAAGCACCCAUAAUGUUU